rnacentral:snRNA from 1 species
UUACACUCGCUUGGGUGAUACAUUUACUACAAUUGGAACGGAACAGAGAAGAUAAACAUGUCCUCUGUGCAAGAACGACUCGCAAAAUCGUGACGAGUUCCACAUUUUU